GGAGGGAGCGCCGGAUCCUGGGCUGUGUCCCCCGGUGCCCUGAGCUGCUGGGGCCUGAGCUGCUGGAAUCACGCUCCUGGGACGGUGCAGCCCCCU
rnacentral:pre_miRNA from 1 species